rnacentral:rRNA from 1 species
GACGUUACCUACAGAAGAAGCACCGGCUAACUCCGUGCCAGCAGCCGCGGUAAUACGGAGGGUGCGAGCGUUAAUCGGAAUUACUGGGCGUAAAAGCGCAUGCAGGCGGCCUGUUAAAGUCAGAUGUGAAAAGCCCGGGCUUAAACCUCGGAAAUUGCUAUUUGAAAACUGGCAGGCUAGAGUCUUGUAGAGGGGGUAGAAUUUCAGGUGUAGCGGUGAAAAUGCGUAGAGAUCUGAAGGAAUACCAGUGGCGAAGGCGGCCCCUGGACAAAGACUGACGCUCAGAUGCGAAAGCGUGGGGAGCAAACAGGUUUAGAUACCCUGGUAG